rnacentral:misc_RNA from 1 species
GAUGAAGAACGUAGCAAAAUGCGAUAAGUAAUGUGAAUUGCAGAAUUCAGUGAAUCAUCGAAUCUUUGAACGCACAUUGCGCCCGCUGGUAUUCCGGCGGGCAUGCCUGUUCGAGCGUCAUUUCAACCCUCAAGCCCCCGGGUUUGGUGUUGGGGAUCGGCUCUGCCUUACGGCGGUGCCACCCCCGAAAUACAUUGGCGGUCUCGCUGCAGCCUCCAUUGCGUAGUAGCUAACACCUCGCAACUGGAACGCGGCGCGGCCAUGCCGUAAAACCCCAACUUCUGAAUGUUGACCUCGGAUCAGGUAGGAAUACCCGCUGAACUUAAGCAUAUCAAUAAGCGGAGGA